rnacentral:rRNA from 1 species
CGUGGCGGACGGGUGAGUAAUGCAUAGGAAUCUGCCUUUUAGUGGGGGAUAGCGUGGGGAAACUCACGCUAAUACCGCAUACGUCCUACGGGAGAAAGCGGGGGCUCUUCGGACCUCGCGCUAAAAGAUGAGCCUAUGUUGGAUUAGCUAGUUGGUAGGGUAAAGGCCUACCAAGGCGACGAUCCAUAGCUGGUCUGAGAGGAUGAUCAGCCACACUGGGACUGAGACACGGCCCAGACUCCUACGGGAGGCAGCAGUGGGGAAUAUUGGACAAUGGGCGAAAGCCUGAUCCAGCAAUACCGCGUGUGUGAAGAAGGCCUGAGGGUUGUAAAGCACUUUCAAUGGGAAGGAAUACCUAUGGGCUAAUACCCUGUAGACUGACAUUACCCAUAGAAGAAGCACCGGCUAACUCCGUGCCAGCAGCCGCGGUAAUACGGAGGGUGCGAGCGUUAAUCGGAAUUACUGGGCGUAAAGCGUGCGUAGGCGGUUCGUUAAGUCAGAUGUGAAAGCCCUGGGCUCAACCUGGGAACUGCAUUUGAUACUGGCGAACUAGAGUUGAGUAGAGGAGAGUGGAAUUUCAGGUGUAGCGGUGAAAUGCGUAGAGAUCUGAAGGAACACCAGUGGCGAAGGCGGCUCUCUGGACUCAAACUGACGCUGAGGUACGAAAGCGUGGGUAGCAAACAGGAUUAGAUACCCUGGUAGUCCACGCCGUAAACGAUGUCAACUAACCGUUGGGUUCUUAAAGAACUUAGUGGUGGAGCUAACGUAUUAAGUUGACCGCCUGGGGAGUACGGCCGCAAGGCUAAAACUCAAAUGAAUUGACGGGGGCCCGCACAAGCGGUGGAGCAUGUGGUUUAAUUCGAUGCAACGCGAGAACCUUACCUACCCUUGACAU